rnacentral:rRNA from 1 species
GUUCUGGGCCGCACGCGCGCUACACUGACGGAGCCAGCGAGUAUUAACCUUGGCCGAGAGGUCUGGGAAAUCUUGUGAAACUCCGUCGUGCUGGGGAUAGAGCAUUGUAAUUAUUGCUCUUCAACGAGGAAUUCCUAGUAAGCGCAAGUCAUCAGCUUGCGUUGAUUACGUCCCUGCCCUUUGUACACACCGCCCGUCGCUACUACCGAUUGAAUGGCUUAGUGAGGCUUCCGGAUUGGUCUAAAGAAGGGGGCAACUCCAUCUUGGGACCGAAAAGCUAGUCAAACUUGGUCAUUUAGAGGAAGUAAAAGUCGUAACAAGGUUUCCGUAGGUGAACCUGCGGAAGGAUCAUUACAGUAUUGUUUUUGCCAGCGCUUAAUUGCGCGGCGAAAAAAACCUUACACACAGUGAUUUUUCUUUUACUAGAACUAUUGCUUUGGCUUGGCCGAAAGGUUGGGCCAGAGGUUAUCACUAAACUUCAAUAUUAUUAUUGAAUUGUUAAUUAAAUAUUUAUUUGUCAAUUUGUUUGAUUUUAUUCAAAAAAAAUUAAAACUUUCAACAACGGAUCUCUUGGUUCUCGCAUCGAUGAAGAACGCAGCGAAAUGCGAUAAGUAAUAUGAAUUGCAGAUUUUCGUGAAUCAUCGAAUCUUUGAACGCACAUUGCGCUCUUUGGUAUUCCAGAAAGCAUGCCUGUUUGAGCGUCAUUUCUCUCUCAAACCUUUGGGUUUGGUAUUGAGUGGAAACUCUUAAUCAAACUAGGCGUUUGCUUGAAAAUAUCGCAUGAGGG